rnacentral:rRNA from 1 species
GAGUAACACGUGGGUAACCUGCCCUUAAGUGGGGGAUAACAUUUGGAAACAGAUGCUAAUACCGCAUAAAUCCAAGAACCGCAUGGUUCUUGGCUGAAAGAUGGCGUAAGCUAUCGCUUUUGGAUGGACCCGCGGCGUAUUAGCUAGUUGGUGAGGUAACGGCUCACCAAGGCAAUGAUACGUAGCCGAACUGAGAGGUUGAUCGGCCACAUUGGGACUGAGACACGGCCCAAACUCCUACGGGAGGCAGCAUG